rnacentral:misc_RNA from 1 species
GAUGAAGAACGUAGCGAAAUGCGAUAAGUAAUGUGAAUUGCAGAAUUCAGUGAAUCAUCGAAUCUUUGAACGCACCUUGCGCCCUUUGGCCAUUCCGAAGGGCAUGCCUGUUUGAGUAUCAUGAACACCUCAACUCUCAUGGCUCGCCAUGAUGAGCUUGGACUUUGGGGGUCUUGCUGGCCUGUGGUCGGCUCCUCUCAAAUGGAUCAGCUUGCCAGUGUUUGGUGGCAUCACAGGUGUGAUAACUAUCUGCGCUUGUGGUUUUCCAUCAGAUAACCUUCAGUGAUGGAGGUUCGCUGGAGCUCAUAAACGUCUCCCCUAAGCGGGGACAGCCCUUUGAAUGUUUGAUCUCAAAUCAGGUAGGACUACCCGCUGAGCUUAAGCAUAUCAAUAAGCGGAGGA